AUGUUUUAGCAGCAUAUAUACUAAAAUCGAAUUGAUACAAAGAUGGGCAUGGGCCCUGUGCAAGCAUGACAUGAAAAGUCACGAAGUGUUCCAUUUCUUU
rnacentral:snRNA from 1 species